rnacentral:rRNA from 1 species
CAGUAGCCGCGGUAACACGAAGGGUGCAAGCGUUAAUCGGAAUUACUGGGCGUAAAGCGUGCGUAGGCGGUUUGUUAAGUCUGCUGUGAAAUCCCCGGGCUCAACCUGGGAAUGGCAGUGGAUACUGGCAAGCUAGAGUGUGUCAGAGGAUGGUGGAAUUCCCGGUGUAGCGGUGAAAUGCGUAGAGAUCGGGAGGAACAUCAGUGGCGAAGGCGGCCAUCUGGGACAACACUGACGCUGAGGCACGAAAGCGUGGGGAGCAAACAGGAUUAGAUACCCGUGUAGUCCCUGUCUCUUAUAC